GGGUCAGUAGGUUGGUCGUGCCACCGGUACGUACUGGUCUCACUGAUUCCUCCUUCCUGAAGAACCGUAAUGCCAUUAAUUUGGUGUGGCGGGGAAACAGGACUGUUACUUUGAAAAAAUUAGAGUGUUUAAAGCAAGCUAACGCUUGAAUACAUUAGCAUGGAAUAAUGAAAUAGGACGAUCGAUCCUAUUUUGUUGGUUUCUAGGAUUGACGAA
rnacentral:rRNA from 1 species